rnacentral:rRNA from 1 species
AGCGAGCGGCGGAUGGGUGAGUAACACGUGGGGAACCUGCCCCUAAGUCUGGGAUACCAUUUGGAAACAGGUGCUAAUACCGGAUAAUAAAGCAGAUCGCAUGAUCAGCUUUUGAAAGGCGGCGUAAGCUGUCGCUAAGGGAUGGCCCCGCGGUGCAUUAGCUAGUUGGUAAGGUAACGGCUUACCAAGGCGACGAUGCAUAGCCGAGUUGAGAGACUGAUCGGCCACAUUGGGACUGAGACACGGCCCAAACUCCUACGGGAGGCAGCAGUAGGGAAUCUUCCACAAUGGACGCAAGUCUGAUGGAGCAACGCCGCGUGAGUGAAGAAGGUUUUCGGAUCGUAAAGCUCUGUUGUUGGUGAAGAAGGAUAGAGGUAGUAACUGGCCUUUAUUUGACGGUAAUCAACCAGAAAGUCACGGCUAACUACGUGCCAGCAGCCGCGGUAAUACGUAGGUGGCAAGCGUUGUCCGGAUUUAUUGGGCGUAAAGCGAGCGCAGGCGGAAAAAUAAGUCUAAUGUGAAAGCCCUCGGCUUAACCGAGGAACUGCAUCGGAAACUGUUUUUCUUGAGUGCAGAAGAGGAGAGUGGAACUCCAUGUGUAGCGGUGGAAUGCGUAGAUAUAUGGAAGAACACCAGUGGCGAAGGCGGCUCUCUGGUCUGCAACUGACGCUGAGGCUCGAAAGCAUGGGUAGCGAACAGGAUUAGAUACCCUGGUAGUCCAUGCCGUAAACGAUGAGUGCUAAGUGUUGGGAGGUUUCCGCCUCUCAGUGCUGCAGCUAACGCAUUUAAGCACUCCGCCUGGGGGAGUACGACCGCAAGGUUGAAACUCAAAGGAAUUGACGG